GACGAACGCUGGCGGCGUGCUUAACACAUGCAAGUCAAGGGGGCCCAGCAAUGGGCAACCGGCGAACGGGUGCGUAACACGUGAGCAACCUACCGAAAUGUGGGGGAUAGCCGGCCUAACGGCCGAGUAAUACCGCAUACGCUUUCAGAGAGGCAUUUCUUUGGAAGGAAACCUACGGGACAUUUCGAGGGGCUCGCGGCCUAUCAGCUAGUUGGCGAGGUAACGGCUCACCAAGGCAACGACGGGAGCUGGUCUGAGAGGAUGGCCAGCCACAUUGGGACUGAGACACGGCCCAGACUCCUACGGGAGGCAGCAGUGGGGAAUAUUGCGCAAUGGGCGGAAGCCUGACGCAGCGACGCCGCGUGAGGGAUGACGGCCUCGGUUGUAA
rnacentral:rRNA from 1 species